rnacentral:rRNA from 1 species
UUUCAAAUGAAUUGACGGGGGCCCGCACAAGCGGUGGAGCAUGUGGUUUAAUUCGAAGCAACGCGAAGAACCUUACCAAAUCUUGACAUCCUUUGACCCUUCUAGAGAUAGAAGUUUCCCCUUCGGGGGACAAAGUGACAGGUGGUGCAUGGUUGUCGUCAGCUCGUGUCGUGAGAUGUUGGGUUAAGUCCCGCAACGAGCGCAACCCUUAAGCUUAGUUGCCAUCAUUAAGUUGGGCACUUUAAGUUGACUGCCGGUGACAAACCGGAGGAAGGUGGGGAUGACGUCAAAUCAUCAUGCCCCUUAUGAUUUGGGCUACACACGUGCUACAAUGGACAAUACAAAGGGCAGCGAAACCGCGAGGUCAAGCAAAUCCCAUAAAGUUGUUCUCAGUUCGGAUUGUAGUCUGCAACUCGACUACAUGAAGCU